UGGGGAAUAUUGCGCAAUGGGGGGAACCCUGACGCAGCCAUGCCGCGUGAAUGGAGAAGGCCUUCGGGUUGUAAAGUUCUUUCGGUAUUGAGGAAGGUUGAUGUGUUAAUAGCACAUCAAAUUGACGUUAAAUACAGAAGAAGCACCGGCUAACUCCGUGCCAGCAGCCGCGGUAAUACGGAGGGUGCGAGCGUUAAUCGGAAUAACUGGGCGUAAAGGGCACGCAGGCGGUUAUUUAAGUGAGGUGUGAAAGCCCUGGGCUUAACCUAGGAAUUGCAUUUCAGACUGGGUAACUAGAGUACUUUAGGGAGGGGUAGAAUUCCACGUGUAGCGGUGAAAUGCGUAGAGAUGUGGAGGAAUACCGAAGGCGAAGGCAGCCCCUUGGGAAUGUACUGACGCUCAUGUGCGAAAGCGUGGGGAGCAAACAGGAUUAGAUACCCUGGUAGUCCACGCUGUAAACGCUGUCGAUUUGGGGGUUGGGGUUUAACUCUGGCGCCCGUAGCUAACGUGAUAAAUCGACCGCCUGGGGAGUACGACCGCAAGGUUA
rnacentral:rRNA from 1 species